GAUGAACGCUAGCGGCAGGCCUAACACAUGCAAGUGGAGGGUUAGAGGAAGCUUGCUUCCUUGAGACUGGCGCACGGGUGCGUAACGCGUAUGCAAUCUACCUUAUACAGAGGGAUAGCCCAGAGAAAUUUGGAUUAAUACCUCAUAGUAUUAUGAAAUCGCAUGGUUUUAUAAUUAAAGUUCAAACGGUAUAAGAUGAGCAUGCUUCCAAUUAGUUAGUUGGUAAGGUAACGGCUUACCAAGACAGUGAUGGUUAGGGGUCCUGAGAGGGAGGUCACCCAUACUGGUAAUGAGACACGUACCAGAAGCCUACCGGAGGAAGGAGUGAAGAAUAUUUGUCAAUGGACGCAAGUCUGAACCAGCCAUGCCGCGUGGAGGAUUACGGUCCUAUGUGUUGUAAACUGCUUUUAUACAGGAAGAAACACUCCCUCGUGAGGGAACUUGACGGUACUGUAGGAAUAUGGAUCGGCUAACUCCGUGCCAGCAGCCGCAGUAAGAC
rnacentral:rRNA from 1 species